rnacentral:rRNA from 1 species
CUACGGGAGGCAGCAGUGGGGAAUAUUGGGCAAUGGGCGAAAGCCUGACCCAGCAACGCCGCGUGAAGGAAGAAGGUCCUCGGAUUGUAAACUUUUGUCUUAUGGGAAGAAAAUGACGGUACCAUAGGAGGAAGCCACGACUAACUACGUGCCAGCAGUCGCGGUAAUACGUAGGUGGCGAGCGUUAUCCGGAAUUAUUGGGUGUAAAGGGUGCGUAGGCGGGAUGUAAAGUCAGAUGUGAAAUACCGUGGCUUAACCACGGGGCUGCAUUUGAAACUUAUGUUCUUGAGUUAAGUAGAGGCAAGUGGAAUUCCCAGUGUAGCGGUGAAAUGCGUAGAUAUUGGGAGGAACACCAGUGGCGAAGGCGACUUGCUGGGCUUAUACUGACGCUGAGGCACGAAAGUGUGGGGAGCAAACAGGAUUAGAUACCCCGGUAG